AUUGAACGCUGGCGGCAGGCCUAACACAUGCAAGUCGAGCGGUAGCACAGGAGAGCUUGCUCUCCGGGUGACGAGCGGCGGACGGGUGAGUAAUGUCUGGGAAACUGCCUGAUGGAGGGGGAUAACUACUGGAAACGGUAGCUAAUACCGCAUAACGUCGCAAGACCAAAGAGGGGGACCUUCGGGCCUCUUGCCAUCAGAUGUGCCCAGAUGGGAUUAGCUAGUAGGUGGGGUAACGGCUCACCUAGGCGACGAUCCCUAGCUGGUCUGAGAGGAUGACCAGCCACACUGGAACUGAGACACGGUCCAGACUCCUACGGGAGGCAGCAGUGGGGAAUAUUGCACAAUGGGCGCAAGCCUGAUGCAGCCAUGCCGCGUGUAUGAAGAAGGCCUUCGGGUUGUAAAGUACUUUCAGCGGGGAGGAAGGUGUUGUGGUUAAUAACCGCAGCAAUUGACGUUACCCGCAGAAGAAGCACCGGCUAACUCCGUGCCAGCCGCCGCCGUAAAAC
rnacentral:rRNA from 1 species